UACGGGGGGGGGCAAGCGUUGUUCGGAAUUACUGGGCGUAAAGGGCUCGUAGGCGGCCAACUAAGUCGGAUGUGAAAUCCCCAGGCUUAACCUGGGAACUGCAUCCGAUACUGGAUGGCUUGAAUCCGGGAGAGGGAUGCAGAAUUCCAGGUGUAGCGGUGAAAUGCGUAGAUAUCUGGAGGAAUACCGGUGGCGAAGGCGGCAUCCUGGACCGGCAUUGACGCUGAUGAGCGAAAGCUAGGGGGAGCAAACGGGG
rnacentral:rRNA from 1 species